AAAGACGAAAAUGGUAUCGUCAAGCGACAUGUACAACCAAGCAGAGUGAGAUGCCAAAAAAAUUUAUCCUAGUUAGAGCUGGUAAGGGAGUCACUGCUCGAUAUUUUCGUGCCACUUAGUAUAUAACCACCAAACGCGCUCAUCUGCAUAUGUGGAUGGGUUCUUGAUGGGAGUACCUGAUAUUCACGUAGCCAAGGUUCAGAAAUUUGUAAUCCAAUCGCCAUUUUCUCAAUCUGCAGGUUGUGCAUACACGUAGCUAGGGGCUGAGCAUACUGGUGAUAAACAGCAAAAGGAGCUGAAAAUGAUAAAAGAGGAAGCACUUCUUUAAUAAUGCCCCAUGGGUCCAGUUCCGGAGCAGCAAUUAUUAGGCUGGAAAAACCAUUUUCUUUCCACGACUUGAUGGCCUCGAGGGUUGCUUUCUGACCUGCUUUUAUAGAUUUAACAGGCUUGAUUAUUGGAGAAGAAACUCUCUCAGGUGUUACAUCCAUGCCACCAUCUUCAGCUGGCACACUAACUUCGUCUAGACCACCAGAAUGAGUGACAGGUAAGGUUUCUUCCUGACCCUCAGACACUGAAGCUCCAGUUUGAAAUGAAUUCAGGUCGGUCAGUGAUGCAUGCACGAUUCUUUUACAGAUUUCAUCGCUUAAAUUAAACAUCCUUGUGAUAUCGACAGGAUAUGGUGAUGAUCCACGAUAAGUAUUGCACACAUAACCAGUACCUCCAAGUCGUUCUGCAAUAGCACCAGUAAGAAUACCACUGAGCAUGUCCACUACAAGUACAUCUGCAUUUGCAGUAACAUUCCCCAAGGAGAGCAGUAGAGAUAGUGCAUCCACUCG
rnacentral:misc_RNA from 1 species